CCUCAAGCAGUUGCCAGUUCUUGUGCACAUCAUCCCUGUGUUAUCCUGGCUGCUGCUCUUUCAGUGGGAGCUUGGUCUUGGAGCUGCGUCAGGGGAAGUUUAGGCUGGAUAUCAGGAAAAGGUUUUUCCCCCAGAGGGUGCUGGGGCACUGCCCAGGCUCCCCAGGGAAUGGUCACAGCCCCAAGGCUACCAGAGUUCCAGGAGCUUUUGGACCCAGAGAUGCACAGGGUGGCAUUGUUAGGAUGUCUGAUGUAGGGCCAGGCAUUGCACUCGAUGAUUCUUGUGGGUUCCUUCCAACUCAGGGUAUUUCAUGAUUCACUGACCUCUGGUGAUGCUUCAGGAUCAUCCAGAAGCUGCAUUUCUCCUCCCCUCCCUCCACUGCAGCAGGAGCUGCUGCAGUGACACAGGACAGUGAGUGACACAGGACACAGCAGACCUGCCACUCUGUUGAGAAACCCUCUGAUCAAUGCUGAGGUGCACUGGUGUGGCAUGAAUAUGCCCCAGAGAAGACCAUGGCAUGCCUUGAGUCUCCCUCCAGCUUUUCCUCCAUGAAUGAGAGGCUUCACCAGCAAUUUUCCUUCAGUUGAAAGGACCAGAAGGGAGUUUUACAGAUUAAUUAAACCCCCUAAUUUUGUAAGAAUUUUAGUGUAGGUGAAAGCAAUUUAAUAGAGAAAAAGGGAAUGGGGUCACACCUCCAUGACUUUCCCAGCAUUCAAUAUUUGCUGAGAAAUUCCUUUCAUGGAAGGCAACACAGUAAUAAGCACCUUGCACUUCAAUUUCCUCAUGGAUCCAUGUGAGCAAACCUCACCUUGCCUCUCCUUUUUAGUUUUGAGUAAAUGAAAAGAAAAUCUCUCCAGCUCUGAGAUACUGAGGUUCACUCAUAAAUUUUCCAUUUGAAGGGAAUUGAGGCUCUCACAGCUGCUGUGGCCCAUUUUUCCAUGUCACGCUGUCUGUGCUAUGCAUGCCAAGCUUGGUGCCAACAGUGGUUUCCAUCCCCUGCUUUAGUUUUGCAGGGGAAGGAUUGGAGAGAUGGAGAAGAUCAAGGAAUGAGAGUGUUUAAAUCAAGUAACUCCUCACAGGCAAAUCAGCAACUCCACAGGUUAAGUCCACUCUUGGGCAGUGAAUCAGUGAAGAAAGAGAGAAAGAGGAUCCAGAUGUGGCCAGGAACACCAAGGACUUCAAAACUUCAUCAGAAGCCAUGGGGAAAGGAAAAAGAUGAUAGUGAAAAGAGAAACACCAUCAAGCUGGCCAUGGCAUCAAAGGAUACAAUUGUAUAAUGUUAUAUGGUACAUGAAUAGUAUUGAACUGCUGAAAAAGUUCCACUCCCUUGGGUAAAGGAAGCAGUGCAGAUGCUUUUUAAUGUGCAUCUCUUUGGAAACAAGAUUGGCUGUUGAGUGGAGCAGGGAGAGCCUGCAGAGCGGGAGGUAUUAGGAACAGACACAGAGAACAUCAGCUCAACUCCAAAGUCCCCAUUAAUAAAAGCUCCUACAUAAACACAUAUGUGACCAUAAAUCCAUACAGGUAUUGAUUUUCCUUUGCAAGCUGAGUGCUUUCUCCUGGCUAAUGAAAUGCAGCCCCUUCCUUAAAGAGAGGUCACAGUGUGGAAUACUCAUGAAGAUUUAAUGGGAUGGGAAAAUAAAUAAUGCUCCUCUGAGGGAAAAUACAUCUGAUCUGCCCUGGUUGUACACACUGGAAAAUGUCUGUCUCAACCUGGAAACAGGAAUUCAGACAAAAGCAUUUUGUGUUAUGAGCAGUGCUGGCACAUGCUGAUCUGUGUAGGCCUUCUGGUGGAGUUUGUCAGUCUUCCCUAAAAUCCAGAUAUACUUUUAUUUUGUCCUUCAAGCUUGAAAUAUUUUGCUGUGAUAUUUCAAAAUUGCAUGUUGUAGAUCCCUCCCAGAAGACUGAUUUCGAUGGAAAUUUACUUUUGAAAGGAAUGAGAGGGAGGUGUCUUUACAAACAAAAUAUGGGCCUGCUAGUAGAUAAACCCAGAUACUGACAGGUGAAAGAAGCAAUGGGUGGGACCGUAUAUUUCAUAGGAAUUCCACUAAUUGACACAGACUGUUGCUUACCCAAGGCCGUGCUAAAUUCCUGGAGUUAGAGAAAAAGAACAGAGAUACAAAGAAAAAGAAGGGUGGGUCAACAUUAGGAGGUGGUCUGUAUCAGGCCAUUUGGGAAUUCUGUACCUCUCAAGUACCUCAGGUGAUGGGGAAGGAGAGAGGGAAAUGUGACUGGAAAGUGAGGAUAGAAAGGAGGCUGCAUGCUCUAGCAAUUUGAGAGACCCCAUGGGAAAUGCUCCAUAGCCUCUCCCUUUAUUCAAAUAAAGUUAUGGAACUCUUCUGUCUCCAUUUUGAACAUCA
ensembl:lncRNA